rnacentral:rRNA from 1 species
GGANGCAGCAGUGAGGAAUAUUGGUCAAUGGGCGGAAGCCUGAACCAGCCAUCCCGCGUGAAGGAUGAAGGCCUUAUGGGUUGUAAACUUCUUUUCUGAUGGAAGAAAUUCCCCGACGCGUCGGGGUUUGCCGGUACAUCAGGAAUAAGCAUCGGCUAACUCCGUGCCAGCAGCCGCGGUAAUACGGAGGAUGCAAGCGUUAUCCGGAUUUAUUGGGUUUAAAGGGUGCGCAGGUGGCUUAGUAAGUCAGUGGUGAAAGUCUGCCGCUUAACGGUAGGACUGCCAUUGAUACUGCUAGGCUUGAGUUUGGAUGAGGUAGGCGGAAUGUGUAGUGUAGCGGUGAAAUGCAUAGAUAUUACACAGAACACCGAUUGCGAAGGCAGCUUACUAAUCCGCAACUGACACUGAGGCACGAAAGCGUGGGGAUCAAACAGGAUUAGAUACCCUGGUAGUCCACGCUGUAAACGAUGAUCACUCGCUGUUUGCGAUACACAGUAAGCGGCUAAGCGAAAGCGUUAAGUGAUCCACCUGGGGAGUACGAUCGCAAGGUUGAAACUCAAAGGAAUUGACGGG